GGCUGCGGUGCCGUCGGUGCCUACCAAGGAAAGAAGCUCGGGGCGAAAGAACCCCCACCAAGCCCCGCCCUUCCCGCCCGAGGCGCUCGUCACCCGGGCGGGUGAACAUCACCGGCUCAGCUGGAUUUCAGGGCCCCCAACAGCCCUACUCUCAGCGCAAGCAAGCACACACCACCCCCAAACAGACUUCGGCCCCCGCUGGGACUGGCAUCCCGGUGCGAGGGCCUAACCACCUAGGAAGCAAACCCAAGGAACUUCCCG
rnacentral:ncRNA from 1 species